rnacentral:rRNA from 1 species
UGGGGAAUAUUGCACAAUGGGCGCAAGCCUGAUGCAGCCAUGCCGCGUGUGUGAAGAAGGCCUUCGGGUUGUAAAGCACUUUCAGCGGGGAGGAAGGCGUUAAGGUUAAUAACCUUGGCGAUUGACGUUACCCGCAGAAGAAGCACCGGCUAACUCCGUGCCAGCAGCCGCGGUAAUACGGAGGGUGCAAGCGUUAAUCGGAGUUACUGGGCGUAAAGCGCACGCAGGCGGUUUGUUAAGUCAGAUGUGAAAUCCCCGGGCUCAACCUGGGAACUGCAUCUGAUACUGGCAAGCUUGAGUCUCGUAGAGGGGGGUAGAAUUCCAGGUGUAGCGGUGAAAUGCGUAGAGAUCUGGAGGAAUACCGGUGGCGAAGGCGGCCCCCUGGACGAAGACUGACGCUCAGGUGCGAAAGCGUGGGGAGCAAACAGG